UUAUUUACCUUCUUUAAUAUAGUGAGAUAUCCCUCUCUGAUUUUAUUUAACUGAAUCCAUAUUGCCUUCUUUCUAGCAACUACGAAAGACAAAAGCAAAUGCCUCAUUUGGUUCAUUGGAAUUUUGUGGUAAUUCUAGGGGAUAUGAAUUUUGUCGGAAAAAAAUCAUUUGAAUCCUUUUGGUUUGUAGGAAUGGAUUCAUAUUCCUAUGUAGGAUAGGAAUCAAUCCUCCAUACUUCGGAAGAAAAUCCCAUCGUAUGCAUCAAAUGGCAUGUCUUACCCUAUAGGAAUUGAGAUAGAUGUCAUUUCACUUUCUACGAUUUUCCUAUUCAUGUGUAUUUCUAUCCUAUGAACCCAAGGAGGCUUAAAUGUGCGCAUUACUCGCAACUAAGGUCAAAGCGAAAACAAGACAUUCAUAGGUUUGGACAUCCAAAUGUCUUACCCUCAAACACAAAAAGCGGAAUGCCAACUAAUGCGAUGUUA
rnacentral:lncRNA from 1 species